rnacentral:misc_RNA from 1 species
CUGACUCAUAACUUUUAUUCACCAAAAGAUAAAGACCAUAGGACCAAACUCAGAGAACAAACCACAACCACCAGACAACUCAAGUGCCGAGCACAAGUUCCUAAGCUAUAGAAUCCUCAGUACAUAGUUCAUAACAGAGCCCAACAUAAUUAAGAAACAAGGUGGGACUAAAAGCAAAGCAGAUCACAGAGCCCUAAGGAUCUCCUCUGCACCGGAAACAGUGAAUUCCCCAGCCUGCUCAAUGUUUGCGACCUUCACUUUCAGGUCGUCAACAAGGAUUGCAUACCUGCGGGAACGCAGCCCCAGCCCUUUCUCAGAGAGAUCGAGCUCCAGACCAAGAGCCUUAGUGUACUUCCCAGAUCCAUCGGCUAGGAACUUGACAUGCUUGUUCUCAGGAUAGGUCUUCGCCCACGCAUUCAUCACAAAUGCAUCAUUAACGCUAAUCACCAGGAUCUCAUCCACACCCUUGGCCUUCAGAGCCAAGGCCUGAUCAAUAAACCCAGGCACAUGCUUCGUGCUGCAGGUGGGGGUGAAGGCGCCGGGGAGGCCGAUGAGGAUGACCUUCUUGCCGGCGGCGAGGGAGUGGAUGGAGAGGGUUUGCAUCUGGUCCGACUCGUCGAACCAGUUGAGGGAUCCGUCGGGGAGAGUAUCACCGGCGGCGAUGGGGGCCAUGAUUGAGCUUGAUUUCUAGGGUUUGAAGGGGAAGGGGAAGG